rnacentral:rRNA from 1 species
GCGUAGGUGACCUGCCCGGAAGUGGGGAAUAACUGCCCGAAAGGGUGGCUAAUACCGCAUGUGGUCGUCGAAUCAGUUCGCCGACUAAAGGAGCAAUCCGCUUCCGGAGGGGCCUGCGUCCGAUUAGCUAGUUGGUGAGGUAACGGCCCACCAAGGCGACGAUCGGUAGCUGGUCUGAGAGGAUGAUCAGCCAGACUGGGACUGAGAACGGCCCAGACUCCUACGGGAGGCAGCAGUCGGGAAUUUUGCCCAAUGGACGAAAGUCUGAGGCAGCAACUCCGCGUGAGGGAUGAAGGCCUU